rnacentral:rRNA from 1 species
UACCAGCACCCCGAGUGGUCGGGACGAUUAUUGGGCCUAAAGCAUCCGUAGCCGGUUUUACAAGUCCUCCGUUAAAUCCAGCUGCUUAACAGAUGGCUGCGGAGGAUACUAUAAGACUAGGAGGCAGGAGAGGCAAGCGGUACUCAGUGGGUAGGGGUAAAAUCCGUUGAUCCAUUGAAGACCACCAGUGGCGAAGGCGGCUUGCCAGAAUGCGCUCGACGGUGAGGGAUGAAAGCUGGGGGAGCAACCAGGGAUUAAGA